GAUGAACGCUGGCGGCGUGCCUAAUACAUGCAAGUCGAGCGAACAGACGAGGAGCUUGCUCCUCUGACGUUAGCGGCGGACGGGUGAGUAACACGUGGAUAACCUACCUAUAAGACUGGGAUAACUUCGGGAAACCGGAGCUAAUACCGGAUAAUAUAUUGAACCGCAUGGUUCAAUAGUGAAAGACGGUUUUGCUGUCAAUUAUAGAUGGAUCCGCGCCGCAUUAGCUAGUUGGUAAGGUAACGGCUUACCAAGGCGACGAUGCGUAGCCGACCUGAGAGGGUGAUCGGCCACACUGGGACUGAGACACGGCCCAGACUCCUACGGGAGGCAGCAGUAGGGAAUCUUCCGCAAUGGGCGAAAGCCUGACGGAGCAACGCCGCGUGAGUGAUGAAGGUCUUCGGAUCGUAAAACUCUGUUAUUAGGGACGAACAGAUGUGUGAGUAACCAUGCAGGUAAUGACGGUACCGUAUCAGAAAGCCACGGCUAACUACGUG
rnacentral:rRNA from 1 species